GUCCACGCCGUAAACGAUGAGUGCUAAGUGUUAGAGGGUUUCAGCCCUUUAGUGCUGCAGCUAACGCAUUAAGCACUCCGCCUGGGGAGUACGGCCGCAAGGCUGAAACUCAAAGGAAUUGACGGGGGCCCCGCACAAGCGGUGGAGCAUGUGGUUUAAUUCGAAGCAACGCGAAGAACCUUACCAGGUCUUGACAUCCUCUGCCACUCCUAGAGAUAGGACGUUCCCCUUCGGGGGACAGAGUGACAGGUGGUGCAUGGUUGUCGU
rnacentral:rRNA from 1 species